CCUACGGGUGGCUGUAGUGGGGAAUAUUGGACAAUGGGGGAAACCCUGAUCCAGCAAUGCCGCGUGUGUGAAGAAGGCCUGCGGGUUGUAAAGCACUUUCGGUUGGGAAGAAAAGUUUGGCGCCAAUACCGCCGAACCUUGACGUUACUGACAGAAGAAGCACCGGCUAACUCUGUGCCAGCAGCCGCGGUAAUACAGAGGGUGCAAGCGUGAAUCGGAAUUGCUGAGGUGGUCACGUGCGUAGGUGGUGAAAUCCCCGGGCUUAACCUGGGAACUGCAUUCGAUACUACAUGGCUAGAGUAUGGUAGAGGGAAGUGGAAUUUCCGGUGUAGCGGUGAAAUGCGUAGAUAUCGGAAGGAACACCAAUGGCGAAGGCAGCUUCCUGGACUAAUACUGACACUGAGGCACGAAAGCGUGGGUAGCAAACAGGAUUAGAUACCCGGGUAGUC
rnacentral:rRNA from 1 species